rnacentral:rRNA from 1 species
UACAGAGGGUGCGAGCGUUAAUCGGAGUUACUGGGCGUAAAGGGCGCGUAGGUGGGAGAUUAAGUUGGAUGUGAAACCCCUGGGCUUAACCUGGGAAGGUCAUCCAAGACUGGUUUUCUGGAGUGCUGUAGAGGGUAGUGGAAUUUCCGGUGUAGCGGUGAAAUGCGUAGAGAUCGGAAGGAACAUCAGUGGCGAAGGCGGCUACCUGGACAGACACUGACACUGAGGCGCGAGAGCGUGGGGAGCGAACAGG